GGAAUCUUAGACAAUGGGCGCAAGCCUGAUCUAGCCAUGCCGCGUGAGCGAUGAAGGCCUUAGGGUUGUAAAGCUCUUUCACCGGGGAAGAUAAUGACGGUACCCGGAGAAGAAGCCCCGGCUAACUCCGUGCCAGCAGCCGCGGUAAUACGGAGGGGGCUAGCGUUGUUCGGAAUUACUGGGCGUAAAGGGCGCGUAGGCGGGCGGGCAAGUCUCUCGUGAAAGCCCACGGCUCAACCGUGGAAUGGCGGGAGAAACUGCUCGUCUUGAGUCCGGGAGAGGAGAGUGGAAUUCCCAGUGUAGCGGUGAAAUGCGUAGAUAUUGGGAGGAACACCGGUGGCGAAGGCGGCUCUCUGGACCGGUACUGACGCUGAGGCGCGAAAGCUAGGGGAGCAAAC
rnacentral:rRNA from 1 species